rnacentral:snoRNA from 1 species
CUCUGAUGAUUCUUGAUGACGAGUCUGAUUCGGCCUUGCCGAUGCAGACACAAACAUUAUCUAACCAUUCAUGCCAAACUGAUC